rnacentral:rRNA from 1 species
ACGAACGCUGGCGGCGUGCCUAAUACAUGCCCGUAGAACGCACAGUUUAUACCGUAGCUUGCUACACCAUAGCCUGUGAGUUGCGAACGGGUGAGUAACGCGUAGGUAACCUGCCUGGUAGCGGGGGAUAACUAUUGGAAACGAUAGCUAAUACCGCAUAAUAUUGAUUAUUGCAUGAUAAUUGAUUGAAAGAUGCUAUUGCAUCACUACCAGAUGGACCUGCGUUGUAUUAGCUAGUAGGUGAGGUAACGGCUCACCUAGGCGACGAUACAUAGCCGACCUGAGAGGGUGAUCGGCCACACUGGGACUGAGACACGGCCCAGACUCCUACGGGAGGCAGCAGUAGGGAAUCUUCGGCAAUGGACGAAAGUCUGACCGAGCAACGCCGCGUGAGUGAAGAAGGUUUUCGGAUCGUAAAGCUCUGUUGUAAGAGAAGAACGGGUGUGAGAGUGGAAAGUUCACACUGUGACGGUAUCUUACCAGAAAGGGACGGCUAACUACGUG